rnacentral:rRNA from 1 species
GUGCCAGCAGCCGCGGUAAUUCCAGCUCCAAUAGCGUAUAUUAAAGUUGUUGUGGUUAAAAAGCUCGUAGUUGAACCUUGGGCCUGGCUGGCCGGUCCGCCUCACCGCGUGCACUGGUCCGGCCGGGCCUUUCCCUCUGUGGAACCCCAUACCCUUCACUGGGCGUGGCGGGGAAACAGGACAUUUACUUUGAAAAAAUUAGAGUGCUCCAGGCAGGCCCAUGCUCGAAUACAUUAGCAUGGAAUAAUAAAAUAGGACGCGCGGUUCUAUUUUGUUGGUUUAUAGGACCGCCGUAAUGAUUAAUAGGGACAGUCGGGGGCAUCAGUAUUCAACUGUCAGAGGUGAAAUUCUUGGAUCAGUUGAAGACUAACUACUGCGAAAGCAUUUGCCAAGGAUGUUUUCAUUAAUCAGGAACGAAAGUUAGGGGAUCGAAGACGAUCAGAUACCGUCGUAGUCUUAACCAUAAACUAUGCCGACUAGGGAUCGGACGGUGUUAUUCAUGACCCGUUCGGCACCUUACGAGAAAUCAAAGUGCUUGGGCUCCAGGGGGAGUAUGGUCGCAAGGCUGAAACUUAAAGAAAUUGACGGAAGGGCACCACCAGGGGUGGAGCCUGCGGCUUAAUUUGACUCAACACGGGGAAACUCACCAGGUCCAGACACAAUAAGGAUUGACAGAUUGAGAGCUCUUUCUUGAUUUUGUGGGUGGUGGUGCAUGACCGUUCUUAGUCGUGAGUGAUUUGUCUGGUAAUUCCGAUAACGAACGAGACUCAAAUAUAUUAAAUAGAUGCUUUCAGGACUAUAACGUUGAAGCU